UUAAUAUGAAGUAGCCCGUC
rnacentral:piRNA from 1 species